rnacentral:misc_RNA from 1 species
GCUGGUUUAGCAGCUGAUGGGAGACAAAUUGUUGCACGAGCGAAGUCUGAGGCAACUAAUUAUGAAAGUGUUUAUGGUGAACCCAUUCCUGUGAAUGAACUUGCUGGACGUGUUGCUAGUUAUGUGCAUUUAUGUACUCUCUACUGGUGGCUUAGGCCUUUUGGGUGUGGGGUAAUUCUUGGUGGAUAUGACAGAGAUGGGCCACAAUUGUACAUGAUCGAGCCAUCUGGCAUAUCAUAUAGAUAUUUUGGUGCUGCGAUUGGAAAAGGAAAGCAAGCUGCUAAAACAGAAAUCGAAAAGUUGAAGCUUUCUGAAAUGACAUG